GACGAACGCUGGCGGCGUGCUUAACACAUGCAAGUCGAACGGAAACGCCGUGCUUGUGUUGUGUGCUAGUGUGGCAAACGUGAGUGACACGCGUGAAUCAUGUGCCCGACACUCGGCUAUGAGUUGCCGAAAGCGCCCCUAAUACCUUAUCUGCUCUCCUCCUACGGUGUGGGGCUGGGAAGGUUUUUCCGGUUGGGGAUGGGCUCCCGGCUCAUCAGCUUGUUGGUGGGGUAGUGGCUCACCAAGGCGUUGACGGGUAGCCGGCCUGGGAGGGUGACCGGCCACACUGGGACUGAGGCACGGCCCAGACUCCUACGGGAGGCAGCAGUGGGGAAUAUUGCACAAUGGGCGGAAGCCUGAUGCAGCAACGCCGCGUGCGGGAUGACGGCCUUCGGGUUGUAAACCUCUUUGGGCAGGGAAGAAGCGAGAGUGACGGUACCGGGAAAAAAAGCGCCGGCUAACUACGUG
rnacentral:rRNA from 1 species